rnacentral:rRNA from 1 species
GACGAACGCUGGCGGCGUGCUUAACACAUGCAAGUCGAACGGAAAGGCCCUGCUUUUGUGGGGUGCUCGAGUGGCGAACGGGUGAGUAACACGUGAGUAACCUGCCCUUGACUUUGGGAUAACUUCAGGAAACUGGGGCUAAUACCGGAUAGGAGCUCCUGCUGCAUGGUGGGGGUUGGAAAGUUUCGGCGGUUGGGGAUGGACUCGCGGCUUAUCAGCUUGUUGGUGGGGUAGUGGCUUACCAAGGCUUUGACGGGUAGCCGGCCUGAGAGGGUGACCGGCCACAUGGGGACUGAGAUACGGCCCAGUCUCCUACGGGAGGCAGCAGUGGGGAAUAUUGCACAAUGGGCGGAAGCCUGAUGCAGCAACGCCGCGUGCGGGAUGACGGCCUUCGGGUUGUAAACCGCUGUCGCCUGUGACGAAGCGUGAGUGACGGUAAUGGGUAAAGAAGCACCGGCUAACUACGUG